GCCUCUAUGGUCUAGUGGUAAGAUACCCGCUUUGGGCGUUGCAGAUCACAUGAUCUGCUUACGCAAUCAUGCGGGUGAUCCUCGGUUCAAUCCCGGGUGGAGGCC